GACGUAGGGGGCGAGCGUUGUCCGGAUUCAUUGGGCGUAAAGCGCGCGUAGGCGGCUGCGCAAGUCGGGUGUGAAACCCCGGGGCUCAACCCCGGAACUGCAUCCGAUACUGCGUGGCUAGAGGUAGGUAGGGGAGAUCGGAAUUCCUGGUGUAGCGGUGAAAUGCGCAGAUAUCAGGAGGAACACCGGUGGCGAAGGCGGAUCUCUGGGCCUUACCUGACGCUCAGGCGCGAAAGCUAGGGGAGCGAACAGG
rnacentral:rRNA from 1 species